rnacentral:rRNA from 1 species
CCUACGGGUGGCAGCAGUGAGGAAUAUUGGUCAAUGGGCGCGAGCCUGAACCAGCUAAGUAGCGUGAAGGAUGACUGCCCUACGGGUUGUAAACUUCUUUUAUAAAGGAAUAAAGUGAGUCACGUGUGCCUUUUUGUAUGUACGUUAUGAAUAAGGAUCGGCUAACUCCGCGCCAGCAGCCGCGGUAAUACGGAGGAGCCGAGCGUAAUCCGGAUUUAUUGGGUUUAAAGGGAGCGUAGAUGGGUUGUUAAGUCAGUUGUGAAAGUUUGCGGCUCAACCGUAGAAUUGCAAUUGAUACUGGCAGUCUUGAGUACAGUAGAGGUGGGCGGAAUUCGUGGUGUAGCGGUGAAAUGCUUAGAGAUCAGGAGGAACUCCGAUGGCGAAGGCAGCUUACUGAAC